AUUGAACGCUGGCGGCAGGCUUAACACAUGCAAGUCGAGCGAGCGGCGGACGGGUGCGUAAUGUCUGGGAAACUGCCUGAUGUAGGGGGAUAACUACUGGAGACGGUAGCUCAUACCGCAUACCAUCAGAUGUGCCCAGAUGGGAUUAGCUAGUAGGUGGGGUAAUGGCUCACCUAGGCGACGAUCCCUAGCUGGUCUGAGAGGAUGCCCAGCCACACUGGAACUGAGACACGGUCCAGACGACUACGGGAGGCAGCAGUGGGGAAUAGUGCACAAUGGGCGCAAGACUGAUGCAGCCAUGCCGCGGGUGUGAAGAAGGCCUUCGGGUUGGAAAGCACUUUCAGCGAGGAGGCGUUACUCGCAGAAGAAGCACCGGCUAACUCCGUGCCAGCCGCCGCGGUAAUAC
rnacentral:rRNA from 1 species